rnacentral:rRNA from 1 species
GAGUUUUGAUCGUGGCUCAGAACGAACGCUGGCGGCAUGCCUAACACAUGCAAGUCGAACGGGAUCCGGACUUCGGUUCGGUGAGAGUGGCGGACGGGUGAGUAACGCGUGGGAACCUGCCCAGUGGUGGGGGAUAACUGCGGGAAACUGCAGCUAAUACCGCAUGAGCCCGAGAGGGGAAAGAUUUAUCGCCAUUGGAGGGGCCCGCGUUCGAUUAGGUAGUUGGUGGGGUAAUGGCCUACCAAGCCGACGAUCGAUAGCUGGUCUGAGAGGAUGAUCAGCCACACUGGGACUGAGAUACGGCCCAGACUCCUACGGGAGGCAGCAGUGGGGAAUAUUGGACAAUGGGGGCAACCCUGAUCCAGCAAUGCCGCGUGAGUGAUGAAGGCCUUCGGGUUGUAAAGCUCUUUUGUCCAGGACGAUGAUGACGGUACCUGGAGAA